AACGUAGGGGGCGAGCGUUAUCCGGAAUUACUGGGCGUAAAGGGCGUCUAGGCGGCCUCUCAAGUCUUGUGUGAAAUCUCCCGGCUCAACUGGGAGGGUGCAUGAGAAACUGAAAGGCUAGAGUGCAGGAGAGGAAGGUAGAAUUCCCGGUGUAGCGGUGAAAUGCGUAGAGAUCGGGAGGAAUACCAGUGGCGAAGGCGGCCUUCUGGACUGACACUGACGCUGAGGUGCGAAAGCGUGGGUAGCAAACAGG
rnacentral:misc_RNA from 1 species